GACGUAGGGCGCGAGCGUUUGUCCGGAUUUAUUGGGUUUAAAGGGUGCGUAGGCGGCCCAUUAAGUCAGUGGUGAAAGCCCGGGGCUCAACCCCGGAACCGCCAUUGAUACUGGUGGGCUUGAGUAUGGACGAGGUUGGCGGAAUUGAGGGUGUAGCGGUGAAAUGCUUAGAUACCCUCAAGAACACCGAUUGCGUAGGCAGCUAACUAGGCCAUAACUGACGCUGAGGCACGAAAGCGUGGGGAGCGAACAGG
rnacentral:rRNA from 1 species